UACGUAGGUCCUGAGCGUUGUCCGGAUUUAUUGGGCGUAAAGCGAGCGCAGGUGGUUUAAUAAGUCUGAUGUAAAAGGCAGUGGCUCAACCAUUGUGUGCAUUGGAAACUGUUAGACUUGAGUGCAGUAGAGGAGAGUGGAAUUCCAUGUGUAGCGGUGAAAUGCGUAGAUAUAUGGAGGAACACCGGUGGCGAAAGCGGCUCUCUGGACUGUAACUGACACUGAGGCUCGAAAGCGUGGGUAGCAAACAGG
rnacentral:rRNA from 1 species